UGUAGGAUAUAUGUGGACCUCCCAGAUGCUGAGAAUCGGAUGAAAAUUCUAAGAAUAUUUCUGGCCCAAGAAAACCUAGAUUUUGUAUGCCGAUUUGACGAACUUGCCAAUGCAACUGAAGGAUAUUCAGGGAGUGAUUUGAAGAACCUUUGUAUCGCAGCGGCAUAUAGGCCAGUGCAAGAACUUCUAAAAGAAGAAAAACGGCUAUGUACAAAUAAUGCACCGUGAGUAUUGAGGCCUCUGAAUUUGGACGAUUUUAUUCAAGCAAAAGCUAAGGU